rnacentral:rRNA from 1 species
AUAGGCCUACGGGGGGCAGCAGUGGGGGAUAUUGGACAAUGGGGGGAACCCUGAUCCAGCGACGCCGCGUGAGUGAAGAAGUAUUUCGGUAUGUAAAGCUCUGUCAGCAGGGAAGAAAGAAAUGACGGUACCUGACCAAGAAGCCCCGGCUAACUACGUGCCAGCAGCCGCGGUAAUACGUAGGGGGCAAGCGUUAUCCGGAUUUACUGGGUGUAAAGGGAGCGUAGACGGCUGUGCAAGUCUGAAGUGAAAUGCCGGGGCCCAACCCCGGAACUGCUUUGGAAACUGUACAGCUAGAGUGCAGG